AAAGUGCUGGGAUUACAGGUGCGAGCCACCAAUGCCUGGCCGACUUUUUAUUCCAUGUCAUUACCUGACCACCUCUCACAAGGGCAGUAGCCUUUUAGCUAGACUCAUUGCCCCCAGAAUUUCUAGAAUUUCCGCUCUAGAAAAUUUCUCGAAUUUCUACUCCUUUACAUUGCUAUCCACACAGUUUUUCUAAAAAUAAAUCCUAAUUGUGCCAUUUCUUUAAAAACCGUAGUUGAUGUCUAGCUUUUAUAGAACAAGUCCACACUUCUCACUAAAAUCUUAACCUUUUUUUUUUUUUUUUUUGAGACGGAGUCUCGCUCUGUGGCCCAGGCUGGAGUGAGCGGCGCCAUCUUGGCUCACUGCAAGCUCCGCCUCCCGAGUUCCCGCCAUUUCUCCUGCCUCAGCCUCCCGAGUAGCUGGGACUACAGGCACCCACCACCAGGCCCGGCUAAUUUUUUGUAUUUUUAGUAGAGACGGGGUUUCACCGUGUUAGCCAGGAUGGUCUCGAUCUCCAUGAUCGAGAUCCGCCCAUCUCGGCCUCCCAAAGUACCGGGAUUACAGGUGUGAGCCACUGCGCUCGGCCUGAGAUAGUGUUCUUGAUAUGCCUCGGCCGGGGUGAUGACAGUGCCUUUAGAUGGCAGGAACCUUCAGAGGACUCCUGGCCUCUGGCCUCCCCACCUUCUGAACACAUCCUCUGAGCGCUGCCUCAGCACAUUCACACAGGCUGGCUAAUGAGACCUCACACCGAAGAAGCCUAGGACUUCCACGGACUCCCUGAAAUCCAGGUCCUCAUUUUUAACAUACAGCUUUUAAUACUAGCUUCGUAAGUCCCAGAUCCCUGCAAAGAUGCUCCUGUUUGAGAAAAUGCAUACCCACCUGGAAGAGCAAAGCACAGGGAAAUCUGUUAGGAGCACUAACACCCAGUGAACAUUCUGGUGACAGAGAUGAAGACUCCAACUGGAUUGGAUAUGUUGGAUACAUCAGCCAGGCAAGCAACCGGGGCAAGGAAAGUGGCAGCUGUGAUGAGGGUGUGGUGACGGAGUGGUCUGCAAACCCGGCCAUAUUAGAACUACUUAGGGAUAUGUUUAAAAAUAUCUAUUUCUGGAUCCACAGUUGCUUUGUGGGGAGCUGGAUGUCCGUGUGUGCUUUUAAACGCUCUCCCAAUGAUCCCAAGGUACAUCACGUCCUACGCAGAAAACUGCUGUCCUACAGGAUACAGCCUGGCUAGGGCUAUGUCAGUCUUGCUGUUUUGACCAUCUUGGGCACUUGCUGAGACUGUGAGGGGGCAACUGCUCCUCUCUAUGUGGCUGAGCAGUGGCCUCAUGGGCCCCUGGCUUCCUUUCCUUACCACCAUUGGAGAGGAGCAGCUCUGGAGAUGUCUGAAUCUUGAAACUAACAUUUGUAAUUGGAACCCAGAAAAGUAGUUUACAAAACUGAAAAUUUG
rnacentral:lncRNA from 1 species